UAUAGUGAUAGUAGUUCCACUCGAUGUGGAUCGCGCCCAUGCUUGCUCAGCUCCAGGAUCAGGCACCUAAACCUAUUUUCAAUAAGUCAUCUGGUCUAUGUUGUUGGAGUUCCGCAUGACGCCUUAAUCCCACCUCUGUGUCUAAGGAAUAGCCUUUUAUUCUUUUCUUUAUUGUUCGUGGGAACAUGUAAGAUUAGCAAUGGAAAUUGA
rnacentral:rRNA from 1 species